rnacentral:tRNA from 1 species
CGCGGGGUGGAGCAGUUCGGUAGCUCUCUGGGCUCAUAACCCAGAGGUCGCAGGUUCAAAUCCUGCCCCCGCUA